CCUACGGGAGGCAGCAGUGGGGAAUAUUGCACAAUGGGCGAAAGCCUGAUGCAGCCAUGCCGCGUGUGUGAAGAAGGCUCUAGGGUUGUAAAGCACUUUCAGUCGGGAGGAAAGCUUGUAGAUUAAUACUCUGCAAGUGUGACGUUACCGACAGAAGAAGCACCGGCUAACUCAUGCCAGCAGCCGCGGUAAU
rnacentral:rRNA from 1 species